rnacentral:rRNA from 1 species
AGAGUUUGAUCCUGGCUCAGGAUGAACGCUAGCUACAGGCUUAACACAUGCAAGUCGAGGGGCAGCAUGGUCUUAGCUUGCUAAGGCCGAUGGCGACCGGCGCACGGGUGAGUAACGCGUAUCCAACCUGCCUUACACUCUUGGACAGCCUUCUGAAAGGGAGAUUAAUACAAGAUGUUAUCAUGAGUAAGCAUUUUCGCAUGAUUAAAGGUUUACCGGUGUAAGAUGGGGAUGCGUUCCAUUAGAUAGUAGGCGGGGUAACGGCCCACCUAGUCUUCGAUGGAUAGGGGUUCUGAGAGGAAGGUCCCCCACAUUGGAACUGAGACACGGUCCAAACUCCUACGGGAGGCAGCAGUGAGGAAUAUUGGUCAAUGGACGAGAGUCUGAACCAGCCAAGUAGCGUGAAGGAUGAAGGUUCUAUGGAUUGUAAACUUCUUUUAUACGGGAAUAAACGAAUCCACGCGUGGAUUUUUGCAUGUACCGUAUGAAUAAGGAUCGGCUAACUCCGUGCCAGCAGCCGCGGUAAUACGGAGGAUCCGAGCGUUAUCCGGAUUUAUUGGGUUUAAAGGGAGCGUAGAUGGGUUGUUAAGUCAGUUGUGAAAGUUUGCGGCUCAACCGUAAAAUUGCAAUUGAUACUGGCAGUCUUGAGUACAGUUGAGGUAGGCGGAAUUCGUGGUGUAGCGGUGAAAUGCUUAGAUAUCACGAAGAACUCCGAUUGCGAAGGCAGCUUACUAACCUGUAACUGACAUUGAUGCUCGAAAGUGUGGGUAUCAAACAGGAUUAGAUACCCUGGUAGUCCACACGGUAAACGAUGAAUACUCGCUGUAGGCGAUAUACAGUCUGCGGCCAAGCGAAAGCAUUAAGUAUUCCACCUGGGGAGUACGCCGGCAACGGUGAAACUCAAAGGAAUUGACGGGGGCCCGCACAAGCGGAGGAACAUAUGGUUUAAUUCGAUGAUACGCGAGGAACCUUACCCGGGCUUAAAUUGCAACCGAAUAUGGCGGAAACGCUAUAGCUAGCAAUAGCGGUUGUGAAGGUGCUGCAUGGUUGUCGUCAGCUCGUGCCGUGAGGUGUCGGCUUAAGUGCCAUAACGAGCGCAACCCUUGCCGAUAGUUACUAACAGGUCAUGCUGAGGACUCUGUCGGGACUGCCAUCGUAAGAUGUGAGGAAGGUGGGGAUGACGUCAAAUCAGCACGGCCCUUACGUCCGGGGCUACACACGUGUUACAAUGGGGGGUACAGAGGGCUGCUACCACGCAAGUGGAUGCCAAUCCCAAAAACCUCUCUCAGUUCGGAUUGAAGUCUGCAACCCGACUUCAUGAAGCUGGAUUCGCUAGUAAUCGCGCAUCAGCCACGGCGCGGUGAAUACGUUCCCGGGCCUUGUACACACCGCCCGUCAAGCCAUGGGAGCCGGGGGUACCUGAAGUGCGUAACCGCAAGGAGCGCCCUAGGGUAAAACUGGUGACUGGGGCUAAGUCGUAACAAGGUAGCCG